UACGUAGGGCGCAAGCGUUAUCCGGAAUUAUUGGGCGUAAAGAGCUCGUAGGCGGUUUGUCGCGUCUGCCGUGAAAGUCCGGGGCUCAACUCCGGAUCUGCGGUGGGUACGGGCAGACUAGAGUGAUGAAGGGGAGACUGGAAUUCCUGGUGUAGCGGUGAAAUGCGCAGAUAUCAGGAGGAACACCGAUGGCGAAGGCAGGUCUCUGGGCAUUAACUGACGCUGAGGAGCGAAAGCAUGGGGAGCGAACAGG
rnacentral:rRNA from 1 species